rnacentral:rRNA from 1 species
UUACCUCGCAAGGGGUAACUGAGUGGCGAACGGGUGAGUAACACGUGGGUGACCUACCUUCGAGUGGGGGAUAACGUCCCGAAAGGGACGCUAAUACCGCAUAACAUCCUGCCUUUGAAUAGGCGGUGAUCAAAGCCGGGGAUCGCAAGACCUGGCGCUUGAUGAGGGGCCCGCGUCUGAUUAGCUAGUUGGUGGGGUAAUGGCUCACCAAGGCGACGAUCAGUAUCCGGCCUGAGAGGGCGGACGGACACACUGGGACUGAGACACGGCCCAGACUCCUACGGGAGGCAGCAGUGGGGAAUUGUUCACAAUGGGCGCAAGCCUGAUGACGCAACGCCGCGUGGAGGAUGAAGGUCUUCGGAUUGUAAACUCCUGUUGCCCGGGACGAAAAGCCUCGACCUAACACGUCGAGGUCUGACGGUACCGGGUGAGGAAGCCCCGGCUAACUCUGUGCCAGCAGCCGCGGUAAUACAGAGGGGGCAAGCGUUGUUCGGAAUUACUGGGCGUAAAGGGCGCGUAGGCGGCCCGCUAAGUCGAACGUGAAAUCCCUGGGCUCAACCCAGGAACUGCGUCCGAUACUGGUGGGCUUGAAUCCGGGAGAGGGAUGUGGAAUUCCAGGUGUAGCGGUGAAAUGCGUAGAUAUCUGGAGGAACACCGGUGGCGAAGGCGACAUCCUGGACCGGUAUUGACGCUGAGGCGCGAAAGCCAGGGGAGCAAACGGGAUUAGAUACCCCGGUAGUCCUGGCCCUAAACGAUGAAUGCUUGGUGUGGCGGGUAUCGAUCCCUGCCGUGCCGAAGCU